ensembl:lncRNA
UACUGUUAUUUUUACGUUCCGAAGAGCUUUGCUUUUGUUUUUAAAUAAACAGCGUGACAGUGUGUGUUCAUUUAGAAUCACCCUCUGCACCUCCUGACUGUGUGCUCUGCUGGACGCUGCUGUUCAGUGUGUGUCCUGUGUGUGUUCUCCUCUCUUCACUCCUGUCCUCCAUCUGUGUGUUCUGCUUCUGUCGGGCUCAAACUACAGGUGUUUUUUUCUGUGAACAGCAGAGAAUCUUUGGGGCAGAAGUGGACAUGAGAGUUAAAGCAGGAGACAGCAUCACUCUCUACUCUGACUGUGUCAUACCAUUAGGAUCAUUCAUUGUUUGGUGGAGAA